rnacentral:lncRNA from 1 species
UCUUACUUUGCUGAACAUUAUUGCUGUUUACAGUUUAUCUCUAUCUAUAAUAAUAUUCAAGAUAAUAACCAAAAACAGCAAAAUUUCCUUAAAAUUACCAAUUCAGGGGCAGCAACCCAACAACGGGUUGUCCGAUUCAUCUGAAAAUUUCAGGGCAGAUAGAUCUUGACCUGAUAAACAAUUUUACCCUGUCAGAUUUGCUCUAAAUGCUUUGGUUUUUGA